rnacentral:lncRNA from 1 species
CGCCCGCGCCACGCGCGCCGAAAGGACUCCGCGAGCUCCUGCAGGUAACGGGCUCGGUGCAGUCCGGAGCCCAGACCAGGCAGUUGCUGAGUUAUGUCCGGGCGAGAUCGGUGUCCUUCAGGGUGGGAGGCUCAGAAACCCAGCGCGCGAGCCUCUGGGCAGUGGUAAGGGCGGGUUGGGAGUUGGGUUCGGCGAGUCCAAAGGAGGCUCCCGGGCUGCAGAGGCCCCGGCAGGCUGUCUCCGCCCCACGAGCCCCUUCUCCUGCGGUCUCCUGGACUGCGGCGACGAAGCGUCGGGGCUGGGGCUCCAGUCGGUAUCACAGUCCUGAGAGACACUCAGUGCCUAAAUAAGCCAAGAGGGGGAAACUUGGCCUCCUUGGAACCUGGAAAAAUAGUAGCCACCUAAAAUAAUUAAUAACAAUUACAGUGUCAUUAGCCCUUUAACAUGUAAUUCAGAAACACGUGUAGUAGUUGGCAUGUGAUAGUUAUGGUAAAUAAGCAAUGGAAACGAUUAAUUUCAAGGACAUGUAGAAGGAGGACAAAUAAAAAGUAUAAAAUAAAAUGGCAGAAAUAAAAUUUUAAAAUAUGGGCAGUCAUUCCUUUGCAACUUCUUUUGAAUCUAUAAUUAUUUCAAAAUAAAAAUUAAAGAAUAUCAGUGGU